rnacentral:rRNA from 1 species
AUGGGUGGUGGUGCAUGGCCGUUCUUAGUUGGUGGAGUGAUUUGUCUGGUUAAUUCCGAUAACGAACGAGACCUUAACCUGCUAACUAGAUUCUUCUAUUUUAUAGUUGAUAUCUUCUUAGAGGGACUAUGUAAUACAAAUACAUGGAAGUUUGAGGCAAUAACAGGUCAGUGAUGCCCUUAUAUGUCCUGGGCUGCACGCGUGCUACACUGAUGCAUACAACAAGUGCCUAGCCAGACAUGGUAUGGCAAUCUCGAAUAUGCAUCGUGAUGGGGAUAGAUCUUUGCAAUUAUAGAUCUUGAACGAGGAAUUCCUAGUAAGUGCAAGUCAUCAUCUUGCAUUGAUUAUGUCCCUGCCCUUUGUACACACCGCCCGUCGCUCCUACCGAUACCGGGUGAUCCGGUGAACCUUUUGGACUCAUUUGGGAAAGAUAAGUAAACCAUAUCACCUAGAGGAAGGAGAAGUCGUAACAAGGUAGCCGUA